UGGGGAAUCUUGGACAAUGGGGGCAACCCUGAUCCAGCCAUGCCGCGUGAGCGAUGACGGCCUUAGGGUUGUAAAGCUCUUUCGCCAGGGAUGAUAAUGACAGUACCUGGUAAAGAAACCCCGCCUAACUCCGUGCCAGCAGCCGCGGUAAUACGGAGGGGGUUAGCGUUGUUCGGAAUUACUGGGCGUAAAGCGCGCGUAGGCGGAUUGGAAAGUUGGGGGUGAAAUCCCGGGGCUCAACCCCGGAACUGCCUCCAAAACUAUCAAUCUAGAGUUCGAGAGAGGUGAGUGGAAUUCCGAGUGUAGAGGUGAAAUUCGUAGAUAUUCGGAGGAACACCAGUGGCGAAGGCGGCUCACUGGCUCGAUACUGACGCUGAGGUGCGAAAGUGUGGGGAGCAAACAGGAUUAGAUACCCGCGUAGUCC
rnacentral:rRNA from 1 species